CUAAGGACCCCAAAGCGCUUUACACAUUCAGUCAUCCACCCAUUCACACACACAUUCACGCACUGGUGAUGGCAAGCUACAUAUACAAAUAUCAAAUAUAUGUGACAGGCAAAAACUAGCAAAUACUUUUAGCAGUUAAAACAACUAAUACUUGAAUGCGGAAUGUUACACCAUCACUUAAGGAUAUAUUAGUUUUUCGCCUCUCACUGCUUAAGCCAUUAAUCUUUCUGGAAUUGUUCUUUGAAACAGAUGCGACCUCACAAAAGAUGUUAAAUAUGCUGUCAGACCUGGCGAGAUCUCUUAACGAACUCCGUGAGGAGGUCAGAGCCAUCCGCAACACCGGCUGCAAUGAAUCGGUAGAUGCUGGGGUACUGCCGCUGGAUUUGCACAACAUUGAGGAGCUAAACAAUGCAGAGGCAGCUCUUCAAUCACAAGAGGCAAAUAAGGCAAUGAUGACCUGACGCAGCAGUUAGGGGCAAACUCUAUGUCAGUAUGUCAGAGUUUGUCUUUGCACAGGCAGUGCAGAAAUGGCUCCGAUACGCCCCAGACCGUUUGGGUGGCGCAGGACGCACAUCAUCCGUCCCCAUCCCGGAGUAAAAACUACAAAGUUAUGUUAAAAUAUAAAUGUAAAUAGAAAACUGUGUUUUAAUAAAGUAUUUAGCAAACGAAA